GGCUGUAGGCCUAGUCUAUCACAAUUUAUUACAUUUAUUUUGUGGGGUUACAAGCACUGUUUUUGUUUCUUUUUCUUUUGUUUUUUGAUCUCUGGUUCCAAGUUUGCAUCCUCUUCUAUGGAAAGCCUUGAAUCGGCAGUGAAGAUGUUGCAGACAAUAACCAUGCGAGAACUAAAUUGGUUGUUUGAUGUUGCCUGUUUUGAGUUGCAUUACUUUGAUAAAAAUUGAUUUAAUGUGUAAUCUGCAAUUAAAUCAAUUUUUAUCCACAUCACAUCUUUCUCCUGUAACAAGUACUGUUAAU
rnacentral:misc_RNA from 1 species